AACGAACGCUGGCGGCAUGCCUAACACAUGCAAGUCGAACGAUGCUUUCGGGCAUAGUGGCGCACGGGUGCGUAACGCGUGGGAAUCUUCCCUGGGGCUCGGGAUAACAGCGGGAAACUGCUGCUAAUACCGGAUGAUAUCGGCAGAUAAAAGAUUUAUCGCCCUGGGAUGAGCCCGCGUUGGAUUAGGUUGUUGGGGGGGUAAGAGCCUACCACGCCGACGAUCCGUAGCUGGGCUGAGAGACAGCUCCGCGACACUGGGUCGGAGACACGGCCGGGACUAUUACGCGAGGCAGGAGUGGGGAAUAUUGGACUAUGGGCGCAAGCAUGAUCCAGCAAUGCCGGGUGAGUGAUGAAGGUCUUAGAGUUGUAAAGCUCUUUUACCCGGGAUGAUAAUGACAGUACCGAGAGAAUAAGCCCCGGCUAACUCCGUG
rnacentral:rRNA from 1 species